GGCCUGGGGGCUGGCAGGGAGGGUGCAGGGAGGAGUCCCGGCAGGGAUAAAGGUGCUCCUCACCUGCUGCAGCCUCACCCAGCGCUGCCCAGAGCGAGAGGAAGAUGAAGGUGGCUGUGCUCAGCGUGGCCCUGCUCUUCUCCAUCCUGCUGUGCCUCCCAGCAGGGGCUCAGGGUAGGAUAAGAUGUUUUCUGGACCCGAGACGGGGCGUGGUUUGCAACAACGACUUCGGCUCCGGUGGAGGGUUCUCUCACCACGGCCACCCCAUAUUUGGGCUCGGCAAGUUCUUCCGUUCUCGUGGUAAGUACUGGAGUUUUGGGGGAACUGGGAACCAGUUUUUGGGGGAACUGUGGCAACUGGGAACCAGUUUGUCCAGCCCAUCCCUUACUGGGGCCGGAGACACACUGGUGAUGUGUCACCAUCUCUCUGCAGAGGAGAGCCACAGUCGGGAAGAGCAAGGUAAGAACUGGGAAUUGUGGGGCCAGACCCCGUGAUGGCUAUCACUCAUCCCAGUGCACCCAGUAAAUCCCAGUGCACCCCAGGGAAUCCCCUCCAUUGUAUUCCCACCCAUCUUAGUACACCCCAGUAAAUCCCAGUGCUUCCUAUAGUUCCC
rnacentral:lncRNA from 1 species